rnacentral:rRNA from 1 species
UACGGGGGGGGCAAGCGUUGUUCGGAAUUACUGGGCGUAAAGGGCUCGUAGGUGGCCAACUAAGUCAGACGUGAAAUCCCUCGGCUUAACCGGGGAACUGCGUCUGAUACUGGAUGGCUUGGAUUCGGGAGAGGAAUGCGGAAUUCCAGGUGUAGCGGUGAAAUGCGUAGAUAUCUGGAGGAACACCGGUGGCGAAGGCGGCAUUCUGGACCGAUAUUGACGCUGAGGAGCGAAAGCCAGGGGAGCAAACGGG